CCUACGGGAGGCAGCAGUGAGGAAUAUUGGUCAAUGGCCGUAAGGCUGAACCAGCCAAGUCGCGUGAAGGAAGAAGGAUCUAUGGUUUGUAAACUUCUUUUAUAGGGGAGUAAAGCUAUCCACGUGUGGAUAUUUGCAUGUACCCUAUGAAUAAGCAUCGGCUAACUCCGUGCCAGCAGCCGUGGUAAUACGGAGGAUGCGAACGUUAUCCGGAUUUAUUGGGGUUAAAGGGUGCGUAGGUUGUUUUUUAAGUCAGCGGUGAAAGUUUGUGGCUCAACCAUAAAAUUGCCGUGGAAACUGGAAGACGUGAGUGUGUGUGAGGUAGGCGGAAUGCGUGGUGUAGCGGUGAAAUGCAUAGAUAUCACGCAGAACUCCGAUUGCGAAGGCAGCUUACUAAGCCAUAACUGACACUGAAGCACGAAAGCGUGGGGAUCAAACAGGAUUAGAUACCCUUGUAGUC
rnacentral:rRNA from 1 species